rnacentral:rRNA from 1 species
ACGGAAGGCAGCAGUGGGGAAUAUUGGGCAAUGGGCGAAAGCCUGACCCAGCAACGCCGCGUGAAGGAAGAAGGUCUUCGGAUUGUAAACUUCUUUUAUGAGGGACGAAGGACGUGACGGUACCUCAUGAAUAAGCCACGGCUAACUACGUGCCAGCAGCCGCGGUAAUACGUAGGUGGCAAGCGUUAUCCGGAUUUACUGGGUGUAAAGGGCGCGUAGGCGGGAAGGCAAGGCAGAUGUGAAAUCCAUGGGCUCAACCCAUGAACUGCAUUUGAAACUGUCUUUCUUGAGUGCUGGAGAGGUAGACGGAAUUCCUUGUGUAGCGGUGAAAUGCGUAGAUAUAAGGAAGAACACCAGUGGCGAAGGCGGAUUGCUGGACAGUAACUGACGCUGAGGCGCGAAAGCGUGGGGAGCAAACAGGAUUAGAUACCCUGGUA